UGGAGUAAGAACUAUCCCAAGUAACCAGAUGACUUCUUUACUGGCACAGCAGUGGGGGCUCCCCACAGUGCCUGGCUGGACCGCUGACUGCUGUGGAUGGUAUCUGUUUCAUCACUGAGAUGCAGCUCUUGCUUAAUUGUAAUUACAACAAAAUAGGAACAAGAACAGUAUGGUGAAAUGAUAUGGAAACACCUGAUAGGCCAACAAAGGAAGUCGCAGAGGAAGGCUCCUGAGUGAUAAAUGAGGAAGGUCGUUCAAGUGUGUACAGUAACUGUUUUCCUAACACCCACCUAGCAAGUGAAUUAUGGAUUACCUGCUAGGUGAAUGGUGUGUGUGCAGAUGCAAGGCCAGAGCUACAGUCGCCAGGAUGCAAGACAAAUAUCCUGCAUCUCAUCUUUCAGUUUAAUCACAAAUGGGAGUCACAAAGAAGGAAGGCCCACCGGGGUGGCUCUCUACAAAAAGUGGAGUUAAAAUCAAGGUUCUGAAGUUUGAGCUAAAA